CCAGUUUAUUGUAUUUUGACUGAGUAAUGACUUAUCUCCAGCUGUUAUGUCCAAGACCUGUUGUGCCACGUUUUUACAGUGUACCAGGAGCUGUGGUCCUCUCCGGGUGAGUAUAGCAUCCGAGUGUUUCUGAUUUCAGGUUGUGAUUGAUCUCCCUGGUUAGUUAGGGAGUGUGCCAGCUGGGCAGAGCAAUCUGUCCUUCCAUCGGUGUACUAUUUGUUAUUUUGCCUUUUUUAUUUUCGAGGCAAUCCUGGGUGGAGACAUGUUUCUCUGGUGGGGGCGAGCAUUUCAGGGCAUUGGUCAUAUGGCUGAGGUUUACUGAAGUUUUGCAUUAAAGAAGCCUCGAGCCCGGCACGUCUUAGAAGAUAGUUAGGUUUAGUUUGGAGUUAGGCAGGUACCAGGGGGCUUGCUUGGAUAAUCAUUUGCACUCGGAGAUUUGCUCAGUAGUGAUUGAUGUCAUUUAUUUCACUAUUUAGUCUUGUUUAGUCUUUUAGUGUGUUUAGUCUCAUGUAAUUGUUUUUCAUAUGUAUGUUGUUGCAGUGGCAUGUCUUGGCUGGAAAUAGUUUAAUCUUAUAAUGUUAAUGUGUGUGUAUGUAUGUAUUAGUUUAUUUUAGAAUGGGGUCAGCAACUUUUUUCAUGUUCUUAUUAUCUCUUGAGAUGAUGAGAACGACCGAGCCAGUGUGUUAAAUGUUUUGUAAUUAAUAAUUUUGUAAAUGCCAUGGUGCCAGGUACCAUCCUGCUUUCUCUCACCGGCUUGACUUGACUGACAUGGAAUGUGGGGUGUACUCGUAGGGACCGAAGCAGGCGUAGAUGAACCGCUGCUGGUCCAAUAUUCCUGGUGACGGGGAAAGGACCUACGAACCGCGGAGCCAGUUUCUUGGAUGACGCCUUGAGCUAUGCUAAUCUUAGCUAACUACAUUAGCUACGCUAAUCUUAGCUAAUGUAGUGUAGGAGUGUCAGGGAGGAAGCUGAAUGUCCAGCUGAGAUGCAGACCAAGCUGCAUGUCAAACCAGGUGCAUAACAGAGAUGACCCAGUGAGAAGGACCCUCUCUCCAGCAAAGACAACAACCCAGAAGAAAAUAAGGGAAGUAAUAUUUCAUUAAAUUCUCAGCUUUCACUUCAACUGUUUCCAUCAGUCUUUUGAACCUGUAACUAAUUUAUGUCUUUUA